UACGUAGGUGGCAAGCGUUGUCCGGAUUUACUGGGCGUAAAGAGCGCGCAGGCGGUCGUUCAAGUCGCGUGUGAAAGCCCCCGGCUCAACUGGGGAGGGUCACGCGAUACUGAUCGACUCGAAGGCAGGAGAGGGUAGUGGAAUUCCCGGUGUAGUGGUGAAAUGCGUAGAGAUCCGGAGGAACACCAGCGGCGAAGGCGGCAUCCUGGACUGGUCCUGACACUCAUGAGCGAAAGCGUGGGGAGCGAUCCGG
rnacentral:rRNA from 1 species